UCCAUCCUCUGCACUUCAGUAAUUGUCUGGUUCAGCUCAGCUUCUAAAUCUGACCUCAGAAGACUACAGAGGGUAGUCCGGACUGCUGAGCGAAUCAUUGGUACAACCCUCCCUUCUAUUCAAGAACUGUACUUAUCCAGAGUGAGAAAAAGGGCUGUCAAAAUCACUCUGGACCCCUCACAUCCAGCACACUCCCUCUUUGAACUGUUGCCAUCUGGUCGACGCUACAGAGCACUGAGCACUAGAACGACCAGACACAGGACCAGUUUCUUCCCUCAGGCAAUCCAUCUUAUGAACAGCUGAUAAUAACGGCGAACACACUACACUUUAUAUUUAUAUACACAUACACUUUAUUUAUCUAACACACAUACUUAGUAUACACUUAAAUUUUGCACAUAAUACACAUGUACAUACAUAACUGCAUUUUGUAAUAUACCUGCCUACAAUUGUCAUUUGUAUAUUGUCAUUCACUAUCUACUUAUUUGUAUUUUUUAUUCUUUUAUUAUGUGUUUUAUGUUCUGUCGCUGUCAUUCUGUUGUACUGCGGAGCUUCUGUCACGAAAACAAAUUCCUCGUAUGUGUAAACAUACCUGGCAAUAAAGCUCAUUCUGAUUCUGAUUCUGAUUCUGAUAUUGUUUAAAAAUGUAUUAUAUUUGCUGUAUUUUCUCAAUGCAAAAUGGUGGCUCCCAACCCCUACAAGUAUGUUUGCUCAAAAUAAUUAAUCAACAUGUCGCCAUUUUAUAGGAGCUAAACUUUUUCUUUUAACUUCCUGUUGUGCACAGAGUACUGUAUUUGAGAGAUGAUAUGAUAACAGAGGGUGAAUGUGCCGAGGAGCUGCUCCAGCUGGCCAAACACACAGUAUAGGAGUACUUUGCUGCAACUCCAGGAAACAUCCCACUACCUAAGAGGGAAGAGAGAUCUGCUAUGCUUAAACACGCAGAAUUUUGACUGAAAUGUAACAUUGACUCUGAAUUGCAUUAUAAUAAACAUUUAUUUUUA